CAGAUUGUAAUUAUUAACGCUUAUUAAUCUCCCUUGCUGGCUCCCGUGAAACAGAAUGUUACUCCUACUUCCACAGAAGAGGAAAUGAAAGUAAUCUGACAGAGGUCACGCAGGUAACGAGACCCACUACUAGGGCCAGAGCCCAGGCCAGACUCCGCGUUCAGUCCCGUGCACUCACCAGUCUUCUACCGAGUUUAUACCGCGUUUAGAACACGGGCAAAGGAAAAGCAGACUGGAGAGAUCACUGCACCUUUUCAUUGUACUGAGGGCACAGCUUGGGAGACCAAGGUGGGUAGGCUCUACUUGCUUCCAUUUUAUAUGUGAAGGCGCCCUCAGCACCUUAGAAGGCAAGUGGAAGAUGAAUUCCAAAAGUAAUUAUUCUUCAGAAAUACUCUGCAGGGAAGUGCUGUGAACGAGGGAAGGCUAUGUGAUGGAAACUCUUCUUGCGAUGACCAGCCUCACAUGGAGAGACAGCGCAGGAUGCCGAACUGGUCCUCUUCCCUUGUCUUCACUGUCAAGGGCAGCCCAAGGACAAAGAUCGGCGGCAACCAGCUCAACCCCUUGAUAGUUCAACCAAGGUGGCCAUGUGAGCCCGCGAUCCUGGAAGCUGGAGGUCUGCAGUCGGGACUGCAACGCCCUCAAAAUACAAGACCAUUUGUGUGUGUGCUCUCCGCCACCUUAUCUCUUUUUGGCAAUAAGCCAUGGUGUAACCCCCUUGAGAUGACAAAAGAAAUAAAAGCUCAGAUGUGA